UUAAAUUGAAGAGUUUGAUCAUGGCUCAGAUUGAACGCUGGCGGCAGGCCUAACACAUGCAAGUCGAACGGUAACAGGAAGCAGCUUGCUGCUUUGCUGACGAGUGGCGGACGGGUCAGUAAUGUCUGGGAAACUGCCCGAUGGAGGGGGAUAACUACUGGAAACGGUAGCUAAUACCGCAUAACGUCGCAAGAACAAAGAGGGGGACCUUAGGGCCUCUUGGCAUCGGAUGUGCCCAGAUGGGAUGAGCGAGUAGGGGGGGUAACGGAUCACCUAGGCG
rnacentral:rRNA from 1 species